rnacentral:rRNA from 1 species
AUUGAACGCUGGCGGCAUGCUUUACACAUGCAACUCGAACGGUAACAGGGAGCUUGCUCCGCUGACGAGUGGCGAACGGGUGAGUAAUGCAUCGGAGCGUGCCGUGUAAUGGGGGAUAACGUAGCGAAAGUUACGCUAAUACCGCAUACGCCCUGAGGGGGAAAGUGGGGGACCGCAAGGCCUCACGUUAUACGAGCGGCCGAUGUCGGAUUAGCUAGUUGGUGGGUAAAGGCCUACCAAGGCGACGAUCCGUAGCGGGUCUGAGAGGAUGAUCCGCCACACUGGGACUGAGACACGGCCCAGACUCCUACGGGAGGCAGCAGUGGGGAAUUUUGGACAAUGGGGGCAACCCUGAUCCAGCCAUGCCGCGUGAGUGAAGAAGGCC